CAGAGCGCAACGCAGACUGUGUAGCGCGGCUCGGAGGCGCCGUGGACCCUCCAGAAGGCGCUCGUGGGACUUAGAAGCCUCUCCCGGGGCUCUCCGGGGAGAAGGCUAACCCUGGGCCCGCACGCGGCCGCGGGAUGGGCGGGGGUUGCAGGAGGGCGCUGUGCCCCGGCCUCCCCAUCGGCCGUGCACAGGCUUCUGUGUGCAGGCGCCGCACGAGGUCAUCCGCUUAAACUGAAUUAUAUUUUCUUUUUCCACCCAGAAAAUGAAAUACACAGCCCCCCAGCGACUGGACGAAAGCACGCAGUAACUCUUUUCUCCUGAGGAGAGUUUUUAAAAGUGACUUCAACUUGGGUGACCCAGAUCAUUUGACUGGAAGACUGGUCUGCGUGCACUGGAUGAGAAUCUGGCCCCAUUGCGUGCACCCGGACCUGUUGGGUUUGCCUCUUGAUUUCUUUUUUUGGGGUGUUCACUGGUUGAGGACUGCUUCCUGCCGUGGCUGUAAAUAAAUGGAGCUCGACCUCA